rnacentral:siRNA from 1 species
UCUUCAAGAGCCUGUUGUAGUGG